UGGGGAAUAUUGCACAAUGGGCGCAAGCCUGAUGCAGCCAUGCCGCGUGUAUGAAGAAGGCCUUCGGGUUGUAAAGUACUUUCAGCGGGGAGGAAGGGAGUAAAGUUAAUACCUUUUCUCAUUGACGUUACCCGCAGAAGAAGCACCGGCUAACUCCGUGCCAGCAGCCGCGGUAAUACGGAGGGUGCAAGCGUUAAUCGGAAUUACUGGGCGUAAAGCGCACGCAGGCGGUUUGUUAAGUCAGAUGUGAAAUCCCCGGGCUCAACCUGGGAACUGCAUCUGAUACUGGCAAGCUUGAGUCUCGUAGAGGGGGGUAGAAUUCCAGGUGUAGCGGUGAAAUGCGUAGAGAUCUGGAGGAAUACCGGUGGCGAAGGCGGCCCCCUGGACGAAGACUGACGCUCAGGUGCGAAAGCGUGGGGAGCAAACAGG
rnacentral:rRNA from 1 species